GUGCUCGCUUCAGCAGCACAUAUACUAAAAUUGGAACAAUAUAGAGAAGAUUAAUCAGCAUGGCCCCUGCUCAAGGAUGACAUGCAAAUUCAUGAGGCAUUCUAUAAAAAA
ensembl:snRNA U6 U6 spliceosomal RNA